GGAAGGGUUGUAGUUCCAUGACAGAACAUCUGUUUUGUGAGCAGAAAGCCUCUGGUUCAAUCCCUGAUAUUUCCA